GUGGAUUAGAUACCCUGGUAGUCCAUGCCGUAAACGUUGGGCACUAGGUGUGGGGCUCAUUCCACGAGUUCCGUGCCGCAGCAAACGCAUUAAGUGCCCCGCCUGGGGAGUACGGCCGCAAGGCUAAAACUCAAAGAAAUUGACGGGGGCCCGCACAAGCGGCGGAGCAUGCGGAUUAAUUCGAUGCAACGCGAAGAACCUUACCAAGGCUUGACAUACACCGGAAACUUCCAGAGAUGGUUCCCCCGCAAGGUCGGUGUACAGGUGGUGCACGGCCGUCGACAACU
rnacentral:rRNA from 1 species